rnacentral:snRNA from 1 species
AGACGUCGCUGCCGUGAU